UCUGCGAAGAGCAGUGGUUAGAGCGUAGGUCUCGUAACCGAAAGGUCGCGGGAUCGAAUCCCGCUAGAG
rnacentral:tRNA from 1 species